UCUCUGUACAGGUGUGGCAUUAGUCUGGUUCUCCUGCGGUUCUGUUGGGUUUCAGUCUGUUGUUCAAAUGUUCGUCUUCAACUCUUUGGACAGUUUGAACAAACUGAAUCAAACUCCAGUCUCAACCAUUAAUUGUCAUAAUGCGAGGUUUCUAGGACUCUUAAGGCAAGCAACAACUACGGACACCCAAACAGUUUUAACAGAUUUAUUUAGCAACUGAAUGUGCUGGAGAGUGUGUGGAGGGGCGUCGAUCUGCGACAGCAGGGAGGAACUGGGCCAGCGGAGAAACUGCAAAGGGCGAGCGGUUAAAGCGGGAAGUAAUGAAGGGAAUGACGGAGUAACCUGAUGGUGACUUACGGUCUGCGGGUAGGUAAGCAGAGGAGAGUACAUGGGGGUCCAACAGUAGGUGUGGUGGUUUUCCAGAUGGGGGAAGUUCCAGCAGGCGAUUGAGGGCGGACAGGCAGCAGCUGAGUGGCGGGCGUGACGCACCCAGGUGCAAGGCCAAACAGAGCAGCUAGGAUCCGAUUUUUCAGGUGGGUCCGGUUCAGAGAGUAUUCAGCUCGGGUUCACUGCAGAGGAAGGAGCAGAUGAAAAGGAGUCAGAACAAGGAGGACACUGGGAAUGCAACACUGACAGCUAGAAAGUACCACUGUAGAAGCGGAACCAUCUGGCAUCUGAUGCUGGGAAGCCGCUCCCCUUUAAGAACCUUGCAGAUUGGUGGUGAUGAGCAACAGCUGGAUCCCAUCAGCCUGCCACCCUGUGAAGGAGAAGGAAACCACUCCCUGCAGAACCCAACAUUAAUGUGAAGGUAGAAAGUGUGUGUGAGCUGAUGUGAAUUCAGCAGCA